GGACAAUUAGCUCAGUUGGUAGAGCGUCUUCUUGACGUGGAGAGGGUCAGGGGUUCGAGUCCCUUAUUGUCCACCA
rnacentral:tRNA from 1 species